rnacentral:rRNA from 1 species
AUUGAACGCUGGCGGCAGGCCUAACACAUGCAAGUCGAACGGAAACAGGAAGAAGCUUGCUUCUUUGCUGACGCGUGGCGGACGGGUGAGUAAUGUCUGUGAAACUGCUUGAUGGAGGGGGAUAACUACUGGAAACGGUAGCUAAUACCGCAUAACUUCGCAAGACCAAAGAGGGGGACCUUCGGGCCUCUUUCCAUCGAAUGUUCCCAGAUGGGAUUAGCUUGUUGGUGGUGUAACGGCUCACCAAGGCGACGAUCCCUAGCUGGUCUGAGAGGAUGACCAGCCACACUGGAACUGAGACACGGUCCAGACUCCUACGGGAGGCAGCAGUAGGGAAUAUUGCGCAAUGGGCGCAAGCCUGAUGGAGCCACGCCGCGUGUAUGAAGAAGGCCUUCGGGUCGUAAAGUUCUUUCAUCGGGGAGGAAGAGAGUAGUGUUAAUCCCUUCGCGCAUUGACGUUACCCGAAGAAGAAGCCACGGCUAACUACGUG